AAGAUGCAACAGGACUGCUGGAUUCUGAUCUCCUGUCUGUGUCCAGUUGUAUCUAUUGUCUCCUCUCUCCUCUCCUCACUUGUGGUCUAUCACUGCUGUAAGAAGGCUGAAGAACAUCCUGUUGAUCAGCAAAGACCUGACACUAGAGGUCAUCCAAGACAGAGCCAGGAUGACGAUGUGUGCUAUGCUGCUGUGGAAAUCCGUCAGAAAUCAAAGAGACCAAAGAAGAAGAAGGAACCGCAGACUUCUGACUCCUGCACCUAUUCUGCUCUUAAUACAUCUAGGAUGUAACAGGCCUAAGACCA